CGGGAUAACCCGGAGAAAUCCGGCCUAAUACCGCAUGUGGCCGAGGGGAGGCAUCUUCUUUCGGCCAAAGGAGGCGACUCCGGAGACGGAUGGGCAUGCGUGACAUUAGCUUGUUGGCGGGGUAACGGCCCACCAAGGCGACGAUGUCUAGGGGUUCUGAGAGGAAGGUCCCCCACACUGGUACUGAGACACGGACCAGACUCCUACGGGAGGCAGCAGUGAGGAAUAUUGGUCAAUGGGCGAGAGCCUGAACCAGCCAAGUCGCGUGAAGGAUGACGGCCCUACGGGUUGUAAACUUCUUUUGUCAGGGAGCAAUUGGGUCCACGUGUGGGCUUAGCGAGAGUACCUGAAGAAAAAGCAUCGGCUAACUCCGUGCCAGCAGCCGCGGUAAUACGGAGGAUGCGAGCGUUAUCCGGAUUUAUUGGGUUUAAAGGGUGCGUAGGCGGAAUAUCAAGUCAGCGGUAAAAAUUCGGGGCUCAACCCCGUCGUGCCGUUGAAACUGAUGUUCUUGAGUGGGCGAGAAGUAUGCGGAAUGCGUGGUAUAGCGGUGAAAUGCAUAGAUAUCACGCAGAACUCCGAUUGCGAAGGCAGCAUACCGGCGCCCAACUGACGCUGAAGCACGAAAGCGUGGGUAUCGAACAGGAUUAGAUACCCUGGUAGUCCACGCAGUAAACG
rnacentral:rRNA from 1 species